rnacentral:rRNA from 1 species
UACGUAGGGGGCAAGCGUUGUCCGGAAUUAUUGGGCGUAAAGCGCGUGUAGGCGGCUCGGUAAGUCUGCUGUGAAAGUCCAGGGCUCAACCCUGGAAUGCCGGUGGAUACUGUCGAGCUCGAGUCCGGAAGAGGCGAGUGGAAUUCCUGGUGUAGCGGUGAAAUGCGCAGAUAUCAAGGAGGAACACCAAUGGCGAAGGCAGCUCGCUGGGACGGUAACUGACGCUGGAGACGCGAAAGCGUGGGGAGCAAACAGG